CUGUUCCGUUCAUUGUUCUCUGUGAACAAUAUGAUGGUAUUAAAAGAAAUCAGAAAGCCGUUCUCUUUGUGUAGGGACACGGUCCCGCUAAAACAAUCGAUCUUUCUCGCAUUCAACACGGUGACAUAUGCACGUGCGCAAGACAAAGUGUUUUUGCGUCACAAUCGUUUCUAACCUCUGCUGCAAUUUCGCGAGAUCGAUCAACUCUGUUCGACAAGUGCGUUAUUUCGAUUGCACGCGCGAAGGAACGAGCUGAACCAUGUCAGACGAUCGAGAAAAUGUCAGAGACCAAGUGGCGGUUGAUAGCGAGAGAGUGAUCAACGAUCGCACGGACGCCGUUCACGGGAGACUUCAGCCGAUGAUUGUUCGUUGCGACAAUUGUGACAGUUUUAUCGUGGGACACAACAUAAGAAACGCUAUAAAGAACCAUUUCAACAGUUCUCAUCCAUCAAACAGAUCCUGUAACGAUUGCGAAGGCAAGAUCUUUGUGUAUAGAACGAUAACGAAAGUAAAUGCGAGGGAAAUAUCGCAUGAAUUUGAAUAUCACAAGUGCAGUCGUAAAGAGAAACCGAAAAAAGGUGCGUCAAAAGAAAAAAAAACAUUAGCGUAGCUUUGUAAUGUACGAAGUACACAAGAUUUCUCUAAGAAUCUCUCUAACGAAAGAAUGUGAUUGUUCAAUUAGAUCCUGAAUUGUCUCUCUAUUUGCAUUUCUCUCUUCAAUAACGAGAUAUAUAGAAAUAUAGUGAAAUUUUAUAUAUCUAUUGAUAAAUAUCUUUUUUUUACAAUGUUAUAUAUAUAUGUAUACAUUUUGUAACUUGUAUUUAUGACAGAUGAUGCUCAGACACACAUAAAAACUAAUAUUUAUUUUUAUGGGUGAAACAAAAGAAGAAAUGACUGUUUAUAAUUUUGUUAGAGAAAGAAAAUAUUUAUAUUAUUAAACUUUGAGCUUAUAAAUGCACACAAAAGUCUCAAGCACAAAAGGUACAUAAAUUUGUACAUACUGUGUUUAUUUUUGUAUAUUUUUUAACAUCCAUUUGUAAAAUACAUUGUGUAGACCUGAUGUAAUUGAUAAGAAAUUUGUAACAAAACUCACAUGAUCUUCAAUAUUGUAUUCACGUAUGAAGUCCUUAUUACAAUUUAUGUGAUAAACACAUGUAAUAUUGAGUUUGUAAGUGUAAAAUGGUGUUAAAGAUGAUACCUGAAGAGUUUCAGUAAAUUAAAGAUACAAAUAAAAGAAUGUAUGAAUGUACACAUUUAUAUGAAGUUUUCUCACAAACUAUCUCAUAAAGACAACAGUGUAUAAUCUUUUUAGUCAUACAUACAGUGAUAUAAUUUUUCUUAUAUACUUUGACAUAUAUAUAUAUAUAGCCAUAAAUAUAGUAUUUAUCUUCUAAAUUCGGUAUUUUCUCAUGUGCUCACACAUAUAUAAUUCUUAUCCGUAUGUGUGAAUAUAUGUACACACACACAAAAAUGUAUAUGCACACACAUAUAGACAAAACUAGAACAAAGAAGAUACAACAAACAUGCAUACAAAUUGUUCAUACAAAGAGAGUGUAAUUGUAAGAAUUAUAUGUAAUAAUUCACACGUGUGCACAUACAUAUAUGCGUAAGUUAAAAAAGAUUGUUACGUUUUUGGUUUAGCUUUAAUGUGUAAAAACUGCAAAUAUGUUUCAUAUCAACAUAUAUAUAUAUAUAUGUAUACAUAUUCGCUUAAUUCUUUAAUUGUACUGACAAUUCUUCAAUUGUCGCUAAUGUAUUUAAUAAAUUAGUGAAGUAUAGUAUGUUUAACACAUAUAAGAAUAUUCACAGUCAUGCUGCGUUCUAUAAAGCUUCAAAUAAUCCGAGCGCAAAAUUACAUAUAAACGUGCCGUGACACAUGUUGUACGCCGUAAUAUAAAAAAUUCAAAAAAUUUGAAAGAAUAAUAGUUUCGAAAUGUAUCUCACGUAUAAAAUUAUAUCACGUGUUAUAAUACUAUUAUACUGUAAUUACAGUAGUGUCCGUGACUACGCGCAUAUCUUUCAACGCGUUUUCUUGCCCAUUUUUCCAUUCUUGCGCCUUCUCCGCGUUUCGAUGCUCAGAAGACGCGAUUCGGAAAGCUAAAUAACUCCGUCUUCGUUAUUUGUACAUGAACUUCGUUCCAAAGUUUUGUGCAAAUAGAAAGACACUACUGUAUUAUAAACAGUGUAAAUGCAUUUAACAAUUGUUAAAAUAAUUUACAAUAUAGUUUUUUUAAUUUAAGACUAGUCAUGAUAGGUUUUUCAGUUUCUUUUUUUCUUUUUUAAUUAUUAUUUCCAACACUGACUACGUUUUUUUAUCACAUUCAUUUUACAAAAAAGGAAUCUCUUAUAUCACACUCAUAUAUCUUCUAGACAUUUAUACGAUCUGCAUAGCUCGAUUUCCUCUAUUCGCGUAAAAUGUAUAUUCUCACGUAUAGAUCUAUGAAAAUAUUAAAACUUAUUUAACAAAUCAUCAGAUCAAACUGUGUGUUACUUGAAGCCUCUGAAUGCUAAGCUAAUACUGGCCCCAGAGAGAUAUAUAUGUAUAUUAUAAGUAAUAGACAAUUUGUACCAAAACUUGGGAUAUGCACGCAGGUUUUAUGACACGUUUUCUCACAUAAGUGAAUUUCAAUGUGAGAUAUAAAUUAAAAAAAGUAUGUACAUUUUGAGGAAGAAAAAUUAUUCUCAUAGAGUAUCGCGUUUGUAGAUUACCAAGAGAAAACCAAGCAUGCUUAUCCCAUAAACAAAGAUAUUUCACUACUCGGAACUCGACAUCACAAGUAGAUUCCAGUGUAGCAAAAAUGACUAUUAAUAUAUUAAUUGUUUUGUUUAAUUAUAGCUAUAAUUAAACAGAAUAAUAAAGAGCCUCAUUAGACAUACGAUCUUCUAACAAAACAGAAAAAAAAUAACUAAAACGGAAUAAAUAGACUUAAGAGGCCAGAUUUAAAACAACAAUCUUGCCCUACUAAUAUGGCUGCCUGUAUAGUUCACAAAAUUAUAAAACAUGACAAACUAGAAUAAUGUAUAUGCAAUUUAGCUAAUAGAUUUUGUACACAGGCUGUCACACACAGAAUUGUGGCAAACGUCGAAAAAUUGGCAUUUUCACACAGAACGUAAACAAGAUGUUCUGUUUUUGUUUUGCUUAUAAAAAAUAUACUACACUUCGUUCUUUCCUGCGUCAUAUUUUGUAUCUUUACAUAUAUCUAGCUUGUUACGCA